GCUGCACCCAUGGCAUAUGGAAGUUUCCAGGUUAGGGAUUGAAUCGGAGCUACAGUUGUGCACCAUAGCCGCAGCAACACAAGGUUCCAGCCACAUUUAUGACUUAUACAAUAGCUCACGGCAACGCGGGAUCCCCAGCCCACUGAGCGAGGCCAGGGAUCGAACCUGCAUCCUCAUGAAUACUAGCUGGAUUCUGUUCCCCUGCACCACAACGGGGACUCCAACAGCAGCUCUCUCUCGUAUGCGGACUUAAGUGUGAUCACUGCUCUACUUUUCAAAUUUUCUAGAUUUUUAUACAUAUUUAAAGUCUAAAUAUUUUUUACAAUGAGGAGGACAACACUGUUUUUAAAAUGAUUAUUUUGUUUUGAAGACAGUAUUUUUAAGAAAAUUACAUGUAGACUAAUAAAGUAAUACAUCCAUGGAAAACAGAGAAGUCAGUUUUGAAUUAUUAAGCCUGAUCACAUAUUCUAUUUGCCCAUCAUUCAGAAUAUUUUUUCAAAUGGUUUCAAUAUAAUAAAGCCUUAAAUGUUUUGCUCCAAGCAUUCCUGAUUUGAUUUUUCACACAUCGUGCAUUUUAAGAGCUGUUCAUCUGAUUGCUUUUUGUUCAUUUAAACUUAUCUCAUCAAAAUGCAAAAUUUAUAAGAGCUAUUUCAUCCCCCCAAAACAUUUAAGUCUAAUUUAUUUUCUAAUUUUUCUUAGAAAAAGGAAAACAAAUUUUACUAAAAGUAAAUGAACUUAAGCUACAAAAGUUUGAGCCUGACACAGAAAUAAGUUAAACAUCAUGAGACUGAAAAGCACCCAGGCCUUCAAUUCUUAAUUCAAAAGGUUUAUUUACCCACAUACGAUUAACACUCAGAACAGCUUUUCUUCUCUCUUAGAUCUUAUAUUCCACAUUCUUCUGUAACAUAGCAAAUGGAUGGCGACCUUGCUCCUAGGAAACAGGUGGAAAUCUGCCAUAAGCCUGUGACUGACCUGGGCGCUGAUUCAACUUCAUUCUUUCCUCUUUCUCAGUGUUUGGUGCUGGCCAUGGUUUCUUCAAGGUCUCUUCUUAAUUAAGAUCUUGCUACCUGAUCUUCAGCCUCAUUUUCUGCAGAGUAGGUUCUGAGCUUGCUUGCUCCUCACACAGACUGGAUUUCCACAACAAGCCACACUGAAUCAGCAGACUCCAAAGUCACCAUUCUCCUGGUCUGUCUUCCACCUGAAGACGGCUUUGUCCUGAAGCUCUCUCCUGUCUCAUAUACUGGGAACCAAAGCCUGUCCUGCUUGCCAUUUCCCUCCUUCUCUUUCUCCAAUCCUGUGAUUUCAAGUCCAUCAAAUCUCUCAUUUAGUUUCAAGACUCUUGACACUAAACUUACUAAUUCCUCUAUCUAAAACGUCCUUUGAAAUUGUCCGUCUACCACACCUAGCAAAUACUUCGUUGAAUGUCAAGACUCAAUUUAAUCACCUCCUCCCUAGGGACUUCUAAUCUCUCUAGUAGAGUACAUGUCCACUUUCUUCUCUGAGCAACCCCCCUCCCACACACAGUGACACACACAGACACACAGACACACGCACACACAUGGGCUAUUUCUCUUAUGUUGGCAUUACUUGUUUACAUGUCUUUCUUCUCGACCAGACGCUAAGCUCCUUAAAGACACGCCAUGCCUCACUUGUCUACAUGUACUCAGUACCUCCUCGAGACAGGCAACAGUCAUAACAUAUUCUCCAUAAGUCUGUUGGGUGAAUUAAAUAUGGCCUAUCAGGAGGCUUAUCUUGAUUUUUAGACACUAUCCUUGGUAUGGUAACCUUCUCUUAGCCUACAUUCAGCUAUAUGUGAGUAGGCUAAAGAGCCUGGAAUUUAUACAAUGGUCAGUUGGGAGACACUGCACUUUCAGAGGCCGGGAACUCUCGUAUCAGAUGGUACUUUGGAAAAGUCUGGAAAUAACAUCCAGAAGUGACUGAGACCUGAGAGGAAUUUAGCUGUUACCCAACCUCGCCUGGGAUGACAAGUUUCUACAGUAAGAUGGUGACAAUAAAAGAUAGAGAAGGAAAAAAAAAAUCUCUAAGAUGUCCCACAAUGCAUGUCAGGAAUAUUGGUGAAUCUGAGGCUCAGAGAGGUGCUACAUCUGCAGCAAAUUCUCAAGGGCUUAUUGAAACCAGUGGCUUUCCUACUCCUUCAAAGACUGCUCCUCUCCCCUCAAAAUGUGAGAUACUUAUGACUCAGUUAGAUGUACUAAAAACACAGUGGGCUGCCAAGCAUACUCGCUGAACUGAGAAUACAUUAAUAUUCCAUGCUUCUUGGGUACAAGGUUGGAGUCAAUGCCAGAAAUGGCUCUUCCUUAUAAGAGCCAAAAGUUCCAUCACAGGUUCAAUAAGGGUGUCAUCACUAAGUUAAGAUGCUGUUACAAAGGCUAAUAAGAGGAUUAAAUACAUUAAAAAGAGGGCCAAGACUCAUACAAAUUUGAUUUCCUUUCCCCAAAAGAAUACCAAGCAUCUGAGAUAUAGGAGGUUAAGUGAAGGGCAAAAGAGAUGCCUAGAUUCAUUUAUAAGUGAUUUACUUUUGGAGAGAUUUUGAAAGAUUAUUUAACUUAGAAUGAAGAGUAAAAUAUUCAAGGCAGUUUUAUGCUAAUUAAUGAAAAAGUGGAAAUGGAUAUUAAAUUUCUAACUCACCAGCAUCAUGGACAAGACAAGAAAAGAAAGCCAAUUUUCGGUUUUUCUGAGGAACUUCUUACAUAAUUUAUAGAUCUUUAUAUACAAAGAUACACUUUAAAACUGGACUUUAAGAAGUUUUUUCAAUUAAUAUAGUUGGGUAAAGUAAAGAAAAUAGGCUUACAUGAACUAUCUACACAUUUUUCUUCAAUUUACUUCUGGAAUACUGUUAUGAGAGGACUGGCCAAAAUUGUGAUGCAAAAGUUGGCCAAAAAAAUCCAAAGGAAGGAAAAUAAUUUCUUCUCAGAACUAAGCAGAAGACCUUAGUUGUAAAAGUCAAAAACGUAAACAGAUAAAAAUUUAAAUUAUUAAUUUCUAAACACAGAGUGCUAACUACUACAGUCAAGUCAUUUUUCCCUGUGGUUGAGUCUCUUAACUAUAAAACAUAAAUAAACGGAUGAAUCUCUUUGAUGACAUUAUUAAGUAUUUCACACCUUACAUAUCAGUCGGUGAAGAGAGCACUGAAGCACAGAAGAACAAGAUUAUGUUUGCAAAACAGGGCUUGUAGGAAUAAGUCUUGUCCUUCUACAAAGUUCCGAAUCCUUUAUAGGUCUUCAAAUUUGUAAGAAUUAGGCUUAAAUACUUUUAAAUGGAAAGCAAAAUACACUGGAAUAAAACGCAUGUCUAUAUGACUUUAAACAUCAAAUGUGAACAUAUUUUCUGUAUCAUCUGGUUAAUAUGCUGGCUUCAGAACUUAACAAUUCUGAGGAUAACAUAUGCUGAUUAUGGUCCAUGUGUUGUUGUUUUUUUUUUUUUUUUCACAUGGUUUACUCUGCCAUAUAGACAUUCCAAGUGCCCCUGAAAAAAAAAAAAGAUGUUAUGACUAGAAAUCCAUUUCUAGAAACAAGUUCACGCUCAAAUUUGCAUGACAACGUCUAGAAUGUUUUAUCCCUCUUAAAACCAGAGUCACAGCUCUUAAAAUCACUUCUUGCACUUUAAUAAACAGAGUCCAAGCUGAUGGUUACAUGGUUUGUGUUUAUCUUAAAAGCUCAUGAAUCCCACAGAAGACUUACGGCCAUAUUGAGUAAGGGGGGGGUCCCCAAAAACUUACUGGUUAUUUUUUAAAUGGUACCUUGCCUGUCUCUAAACAAUAUGAAACUCAACAGCAAGAACAAUAAUCCUUUAAAGUGAUAUUUUGCUCUACACCUAAGCCAAAUUCAAAGAUGAUAUCUAUGAAAAUAUGAUCAUUGUAUGUUGCAAAACCUAGAUAAAGUUUCAGGGUUUGGCCAGCCUCCGAGGUAAGCAGCAAAGAUAAAUAUUGCGCAACUACUAAUCUGUAAAGAAUUCCGUGUGGAUUUCAUGGUUCCAGCUUCUAGACUCCCCUUUCCUUGCACACUAACACAAAUAAAUAAACAAGUAAACAAAUAAAAACCAUACCUGUGAAAGAAUAGAGUGCUUUAAUACCCAAAAGAGCUGACUGGCAGUGAGAGAACAAGUAUAUUCCUAAAGGUUUUCCGUAAAUUGCAUAAUGGUUUCUCACUGACAAACCCAACAAUUAUUCCUGAGAUGGAUGUGUUGAUUUAGCAACGCUCUAUCACUCAGAAUGCCCCUGUUUAUGCUUUUCCUCUCCCACGGGGCCGUCAUUCUCGGGAGUUAUCCCUCUGCACGAGCAGCGAGACCCAUAUCGGAAAGAGAUACCAAUUAAGCAAGUUAUUCUAUAAAACAAAGAAAGUUUUUAAAAACAGAAAUAAAGCAAACCUCAGGAAAGUCAUGCAAACAUAUAAUCUACUACCAAGAAAACUUGAAAUCUGUGAAAAUCUCCACUGAUUGAAGUACUUGAAGUUUCAGUGGAGUUCUGUUGCUAGAGCUGACUCUAUUUACGCCUGUCUGGAGAGAGAACGUGGAAUAAUGCGUGCAAAGUAUUAUCUGAUACAUCUUUAAAGUCCCUCCGUCAACUAGUAAAUAAACAAAGGCAACUGCUAAGGUUUUCACUAUGUUGAUUCCUGCCCUGCCCGUAUAAGAGUUUGAACAUAACUGGUGAGUGAGUGUCCUGGGAGUCUCAGAACACCAAGAAAAACUGUGUAAUCCUUUCCGAUGUGAUUGUGAUUUAAAAGGGGGAAAUCUCUGUGAGGGUCCAGAAGCUGAGUUUUAAUUUUAUGGCUUCUGCAUCCUAAAUCACAUAGCAAGAGGCAAACAGGACCUUUAAUUAAGUAAAUGGGUUUUGUUUUUCCUGAAACAGAAAGAGAAGCUCUGUAAAAGUGAACGUGUUUGGAGGAGAAAAAGAGAGAGAGAAGGAAAGAAUAUGGCAAAAGAUACCUGAAAUAAAGUUUACAAUGGAAGGAAUUUAUAUUGAUUAUUUAUUGAGUUAGGUUGAGUUCGUAGGCACUUGGUGAUUCUGCAGACGCGCUCCUUGACAGCAAAGUCCUAGGGAUCCAACAGU
rnacentral:lncRNA from 1 species